rnacentral:lncRNA from 1 species
ACGUGUAUCAACUAUUCAUCCAUACUUUGUUUACAUUUUCCUAGAUGAUAUAAAGGGCAUGGUUGCUUACAUUUUCUUCUAUUGUGAUCCGUACUACCAUACCUUCCACAACUUGUUGAAUGGUAUAAUUCUAACCUUAUUUUUCGCCCUUUUUUUGGUCUCCUUGGUUGUCUCUUCGAUAUAGGCAGCAAUAUCUCACCAUGGCAUCAGUAUUUAUCGACCUUCCAUUGUUCAUCAUCUCCAAGUGGUACAACAUUUUCAGCAUAAGAAGCGAGAUAACCAUCCUUCUGUGGUUUCGUGAACCAUUGUAUGGAUUAUCCCCUUUAUCACCGAUGACAGCUAAGGCGUG